rnacentral:sRNA from 1 species
GCCAGGUGCAAUGGUGCACACCUGUAAUCCCAGCAACUUGGGAGGCUGAGGCAGGAGGAUUGCGAGUUCAAAGCCAGCCUCAGCAAAAGUGAGGCACUAAGCAACUCAGUGAGACCUUGUCUCUA